GUUUCUGUGCUCAGACUCCAUCCACUUAUGCACUGAGGUCUUUUGGUUUGCACUUGUAGAGUGGCUGUGGCCUGUGAGGAAGGGAAGGAAAAGGCUAGUGGCUCUGUUGACUCAAACCCACAUCCUUUCUAACCAGAACCUGAGGAAAAAAUAAUUUUUACUGUGGAGUGAAUGUAACAGACUGCACACCAAUGAAGUGUCCUGCAGCUUCUUGGUAUUUUCAGAUGUGACAGACAUGUGCACAUGCACACACAGAAGACUGGAGCAGAGUGCCUCACGAUGGGCCUGCCUGUGUUUACUGCUUUAGUCAAGUGGAGGAUGACAAGAUUUCUUCUUGCAGCACCGCCACCUUCUACCCAACACACUCAAAACACGUGACCUUGAUCCUGGACGCGCUCGGUUCACUUGAGGCUAAGCACCACUGAUCUUAGAUGAACUUGUGUGUGGUUAUGACCUUGGGAAACCAAGCGGAAAGGACUAUACAAGGCAGCUAAGCUGUACCCACAAAAGCCCCAAGUCACAGCUCUGUUGCUGAAGGAGGUAAAUACACAGCAUC